UACGUAGGGCGCAAGCGUUGUCCGGAUUUAUUGGGCGUAAAGAGCUCGUAGGCGGCUUGUCACGUCGGGUGUGAAAGCUCGGGGCUUAACCCCGGGUCUGCAUUCGAUACGGGCUGGCUGGAGUGUGGUAGGGGAGAUCGGAAUUCCUGGUGUAGCGGUGAAAUGCGCAGAUAUCAGGAGGAACACCGGUGGCGAAGGCGGAUCUCUGGGCCAUUACUGACGCUGAGGAGCGAAAGCGUGGGGAGCGAACAGG
rnacentral:rRNA from 1 species